rnacentral:rRNA from 1 species
AUUGAACGCUGGCGGCAGGCUUAACACAUGCAAGUCGAGCGGGGGAAGGUAGCUUGCUACCGGACCUAGCGGCGGACGGGUGAGUAAUGCUUAGGAAUCUGCCUAUUAGUGGGGGACAACAUCUCGAAAGGGAUGCUAAUACCGCAUACGUCCUACGGGAGAAAGCAGGGGAUCUUCGGACCUUGCGCUAAUAGAUGAGCCUAAGUCGGAUUAGCUAGUUGGUGGGGUAAAGGCCUACCAAGGCGACGAUCUGUAGCGGGUCUGAGAGGAUGAUCCGCCACACGGGGACUGCGACACGGCCCAGACUCCUACGGGAGGCAGCAGUGGGGAAUAUUGGACAAUGGGGGGAACCCUGAUCCAGCCAUGCCGCGUGUGUGAAGAAGGCCUUAUGGUUGUAAAGCACUUUAAGCGAGGAGGAGGCUACUUUAGUUAAUACCUAGAGAUAGUGGACGUUACUCGCAGAAUAAGCACCGGCUAACUCUGUGCCAGCCGCCGCCGUAA